CCUCAUGCCCAGGCAUCCAUGUAAAUCUAACUUCACAACCCAUCUUCCCUAUUCUAAACAAAACUAAGAGAAUCUCAAUAACUAGGUCAGGACGAGCUUUUGAUUUAUUCCCUUUUAUAGCCUCUAAGGCAGCAGCAGAACCCGAACAGAUGAUAGCCCUGCAUGGUCGAGAGUCUUCUAUCCACCGUAAGGCCCAGAGGAUUGCUAAAAAAGUACUGCCACUUACUUACCAGUCUCCCAUUUAAUUAGGUAACCAUAUGGAACUGGUUAAGUCAAGUGUCUGUCAGCUGACUCAGGAUUUGUGGCAUCAAGGAAUGUAAGUCUGGGACAUUCAGACUGUGGAUUUUGUUGCACAACAGCCACAGAGGAUUAAGGUCUACGUCUUGGAUGCCUGAGUGGGCAAGUCCUGAAGAAGAGCGUCAACCCGAUACGGCGACUGUUUGUUCAUCUCCACAGACGCUGCCUGACCUGCUGAGCAUUUGCGUGUGAUGCUCUGGGCUUCACCAUCAAUGCCAACAUAACCCGUGAUGCUGUCUGACCUGCUGAGUUCCUCCAGCAUUUUCUAUGUGUACUCCAGAUUUCCAGCAACUGCAGUCUCUUGUGUUUAUAACAAUAACCUCAACGCCCAAAUCGAGACGUGAGAAGACAUUACAACUGGAACAUGG